GACGAACGCUGGCGGCGUGCUUAACACAUGCAAGUCGAACGGAAAGGCGCUGCUUUUGUGGGGUGCUCGAGUGGCGAACGGGUGAGUAACACGUGAGUAACCUGCCCUUGACUUUGGGAUAACUUCAGGAAAAUGGGGCUAAUAUCGGAUAGGAGCUCCUGCUGCAUGGUGGGGGUUGGAAAGUUUCGGCGGUUGGGGAUGGACUCGAGGCUUAUCAGCUUGUUGGUGUGGUAGUGGCUGACCAAGGGUUUGACGGGUAGCCGGCCUGAGAGGGUGACCGGGCACAUUGGGACUGAGAUACGGCCCAGACGCCUACGGGAGGCAGCAGUGGAGAAUAUUGCGCAAUGGGCGGAAGUCUGAUGCAGCAACGCCGCGUGCGGGAUGACGGCCUUCGGGUUGUAAACCUCUUUCGCCUGUGACGAAGCGUGAGUGACGGUAAUGGGUAAGAAAGCAACGGCUAACUACGUG
rnacentral:rRNA from 1 species